UACGUAGGGGGCAAGCGUUGUCCGGAUUUAUUGGGCGUAAAGAGCUCGUAGGCGGUUUGGUAAGUCGGAUGUGAAAUCUCCAGGCUCAACUUGGAGGGGUCAUUCGGUACUGCCAUGACUAGAGUUCGGUAGGGGAGUGUGGAAUUCCUGGUGGAGCGGUGAAAUGCGUAGAUAUCGCUUGGAACGCCGAAGGUGAAAACAGGCUGCUGGGGUCGCGCCGACGCUGAGACACGAAAGCCAGGGGAGCAAACGGG
rnacentral:rRNA from 1 species